UUUUUUUUUUUUUUUUUUUUCAAUGUAUCCUCUUUUAAAACCCAAUGGCAUAGGACUCCUGGGUGGCUCAGAGGUUGAGCACCUGCCUUUGGCUCAGGGUGUGAUCCCAGUUUGGGGAUUGAGUCCCACAUCAGGCUCUGCUUCUCCCUCUGCCUGUGUCACUGCCUCUCUCUUUCUGUAUCUCUCAUGAAUAAAUAAAAUCUUUAAAAAUAAAUAAAUAAAUAAAUAAAUAAAUAAAUAAAUAAAUAAAUAAAUAAAUAAAAAAACCCAAUGGCAUGAUAUAGUUCCUAAUCCUAUUGCCAAACUUACUCUAUUGCACUAGAUUGUUUUUCCACACUUGUGAGCUUCUUGAGAGAUAAACUUGAUACAAAUAGAUAUCAAACUUAUUAAUAUUUCCUUCUCAAAAAUUUAGCUCAAAUAUCUUUAAUUACGCAUUUCUUUCAACAAAGAAUUACUGAUUCCCUUCUAUGUUUUUAUCUUUAGCGGGCUUAUAUCCUAAAAUAAAGAAGGCAAUUCAUAUGUUCAAAUGAAUAUAAUAAGGUACAAAGGGAUAAGUAAGACCAUCCCAGAUAAAAUGCUUUGGAAAUCAGAAGAAAAAGAAAUUACCUGGGGUGGAGGGGGGUUGCAAAAAGCUUUAUGGAGAUCACAUUCAAAUGCGGCCUUAACAUAAUGGGAUGAUAUGAGUAUGUGAAAAUAGCAGAAAAUAACAUCUUGGGAACAGGAAGAGAAAGAUUCAGUAAACAAUGCAGGGAAAGUAUGAGGCAUGCAUGGGAAGGAGCAUGUGGUUUGGAACAAAUGGAACCCCAGGGUAUGAGGUGGGGGCAGAGAGGAUUGACAGGGCAGACCCAGCAGAGAACCAUUGUAAAGACUCACAUCUGACAUUUGCAGGAGUUUGGAUCUCAUUAUUGGGAAUUAAAAGUCACUAAUGGAGUUCAGUUAAAGAGAAACGUCUUCAGAUUUUAUAAAACCCAUUUUGGCAGCAGAGUAGAAAAUCAAGACAGGUGAGGCGUAGGGCAGGGGAGAAAUCAGUGCAUGGAAUAUUUAGGAGUUGGCAUCAGUAGGACAUGGCGCCCUAAAAUGCAUGCAGUGACUGAACACCACAAGGCACAAUCAAUCAUGGCACUAUAUCUUGAACUAUUGGCAGCAUGUGGCAUGGAGUUCAGGGCAGAGAGUAGUUGAAAAGGGCUGGAGGAGAGGCCAGGAAAGGCAUCUGAAUGCCUAGUUAUGAGGUGGUGCCUUCUGUGAGACCUUGAGGAGCUGCUGCUUGCUGCUAAGUCAGUCACAAGCUUGAUGUCAAAGAACCAAGCUCUGUAUUUAAGUGCAGCUCAGGAAUCCAAAGCACAGCGUGCUCCUCAUUAUUAAAAGCACGAAGUCACUAAAUAUAUAUAUAUAUUUUUUUACUAAAUAUUUUUAACUACUCAAGUAAUACAGUAUCCAUCGAAUAAAAAGUAAAAUGAGUUGGAAUGUAUUCUGGUAACCCAUCCAGCUGCACACCAGGUACCAGGGGACAUGAUAACUGGCCCAAGCAAUUAAGCCGUAUCUGAAAAAGCAGUUGCCAUCCACCACCAACUGGGUGGGCUUCCGAUCAUCCCCCAUUGCUCCUGGAGAUCCGUCUGUUUUCUGCACCACAGAAAGGCCAGCUGAAUGGGGAUAGGGCAGCCAUGGCCACCCUGGCCUCCUUCGAGUCCUUGAUGGUGGUGCUCAUCUCUGCAGCCCUCGGAAGCUUGGAACUGCUUCUGGUCUGUUUUCCUUAUGGAGGUGGUUCUAGUGGCUUCCAAGUGGCCUUUCCCAAAGUAACAGCCCUCACUCCACAGGUCCCAGGACCCACGCAGGAACUCAGAAGCUGCUGGGUUGGGAUAUUCCAAUUAUUCAUUCCAGAACCAGGGACAUCACCACCAGAUAGGCUUGGGGGGCGGGGGGCCACUGGGCCCCAUGGGAAGCCAACCUGAGCUUAGACUCCAGUGAUCACCAGACCUCAGGAGCCCCUACCCUCACCAUUGGGCCACAGCGCCAUCCUGGAUCCCAGAACUGGGGUCAGUUCAGAGCCAGUGUCUCCUAAUCCCAACAGGGUCUGUUGACUUUGCCACCGGGUAAGGGGCUAAUGUCCCUUUGAGGAAGGCUGAGAAGAACAUUCACAGUACGAACUUUUGGCAGUGGACCAGCGUCCUUCCUCAAGCAGUCCUGGGGCUGGGAACUGGCUCACGUCUGGGAGUUGAUUGAGGGGCCAAGACUCAUUUCAGUGAUUCAAGUUAGACUCAAACAAUACCUUUCCUACUUACAACAUUCAAGUAAAAAUUUAGCAGGUUCUCAUCUCAUUGUCUUUUAGGGACACCAUCCUCAGCCAGCCAGAGCCACGGGUCCCUUGGGGUCAGACUGUCCUUCAAUGGUAACCAACCCCACCUAGCUUUGGUAGUGAGUACAGCCACCUCACCCCUGCCACCCCAGAAUCCAAUCAUCCCCACUGCUUAGGGGAUCCUAGUCUGUUGACAGCAGUUCUUGGGCUCUCAAUGUAUUUCAGAGAAGAGGGACCACAGAGCUCUUCAAGGAUCCUAGGGCCUCCUCACAAAUCUGCAAUGUCCUUGGAGGUGCCCUGCUGCCAACACUGCCCCUGACGCCAUCAGUGCUCUGCACAGCUCUGAAGUUGCUCUGGUUGCUAGUUGAAGCCAAGACAGUCCCUGUCACUCUGCCUGUCAUCAUAGACACUGCUAUUAAUCCCACGGCAAUAACAUUCCUGGCCAGAAGACACCGCUACACCAUUUCUGCCCUACCAGAAAGGCUCCUGGUGCUAACACUGUGAACCUGCACCACGUAGAUUCCUUUGUACCCUUUUCUGGAGAGGACCUAGAGCAGCUGUAAAACCCUCAUUGUUUGCAGCCUAGCAUCUGUGGUCAUUCUGGUCAGUGCAGGCCAAAUUCCCUUUGAGAGACCUCUUCCCCAUUCUCAAUCCCACGGUUUGUGCAAGACUAAUGCCACCUGAAUAUACAAAAGAGGGUCCCAAUUGCUUACACCUGUCAAGGGAUCCCAAUUCCUCUGGCUACAAUGACAGGUAUAGAGAACUGCACAAAACCCCAGCCCAAGCCAAUCAGCCCUCUAUGCUCCUGGCCAUAGUGAUAGUACACAGAUCAGAGAGAAUCCUGUACCACCAUCCUCUACAGUCCAGUAGCCAGGGACCAUCUGGCAUGCAAGUUUUGUUUUUCCCUUGAACUGGCUAAUGUUUCCACUGGUCUGUCUGAAAGCAUGGGGGUUCCAUUACUAUUGGUUUAACUGCUCUAUUUAACAAGGAGAUGUGCCAGUCUAGCUUGUUUUGUAUAUUGUCCAAGAGGGAAAAAGGGAGUUUUCAGUAGGAAAAGAAACCACUAUCCUGGUAAAUACCUACUGUGCCUUUCCCAUUCCUCUCCCAAGGUUCAUAAAAAAUUAAGGACUAUACCACAUACUUUCUUUGUUUUCACUUAAAGUCUUUCCCCACACAGGACUCAAAUAUGUAUUCAAAAAGCUAGAUCAAGGACUGACUCAAGUAAUAAUCAUAUAGACCUACUAUCCCCUACAUGCACCCACAUCCCGGGGGCACCUCUACAUCCUAAUCUCUCAGUGCCUCCGGAGCUUAGACUUGGGGCUGUCUUUAAAUCUCAUGAGCGGUGUGCCUAGGUAGCUCAAUUAAGUGUCUGCCUUCAGCUCAGGUCAUGAUCUCAGGGUCCUGGGAUCGAGUCCUAUAUCAGGCUCCCUGCUCAGUGGGGAGUCUGCUUCUCCCUCUGCUCAUGCUCUGUCUCUCACACAUGUUCUCUAUCUCUCAAAUAAAUAAAUGAAAUCUUUAAAAAAAAUCUCAUGAGCAUAAGCAAGGAAAGGUCACUGCUUAGAGUCUAUAGCUUGUGCACUUUUUUUGGAAAAAAAUAUGGACCCUUCCCCAAGAAAGAUGUACACAUGUACCCAUAGAUUUGUAUCCUGUUAUGGGUCACUCAUAGACACUCUGAAGCUUAUUCACAGACCAUAGAUGAAGAAUUCCUUCCUUAACUGUACAAACUUCUCUAGCUUUUUAUGCUGAUCCUUUAAAACAGCUUCUAAAGGCUUUCAUUUCCUUAACUGCCCCAUUUUCCUUGCUGGAAACUACAAAAGCCAGAAUGGACAUUCUUUAAAAUUGCAUUUGAGGCUUAUUCACCAUUUCUCAUGAAUCAAUAACAAACUCCAACUGCUUUUGCAAGAGGGAAGACAAUGACACUUUGCACUAUAAUAGAAUAUCUGUUUUUUUUUUCACACUUGCUUUUCAGGGCUUUUUUGGGACCUGUAA
rnacentral:lncRNA from 1 species